GACAUAGGUGGCGAACGUUAUCCGGAUUCAUUGGGCGUAAAGGGUGCGUAGGCGGCGCGGUAAGUCGGGUGUGAAAUCUCGGGGCUUAACUCCGAAACUGCAUUCGAUACUGCCGUGCUUGAGGACUGGAGAGGAGACUGGAAUUUACGGUGUAGCGGUGAAAUGCGUAGAUAUCGUAAGGAAGACCAGUGGCGAAGGCGGGUCUCUGGACAGUUCCUGACGCUGAGGCGCGAAGGCGUGGGGAGCGAACGGG
rnacentral:rRNA from 1 species